GAAGUUGUUGUUGUUGUUGUCCGAAAAUUUUUAAUGGGCUAGACGCGGCGUGAAGGAUUAGUCAAGGAAUUUUUAUUUUUUUUCUUUAACAAGAAAAGCAUUUUUACUGUUUUAAUAAGAAAACCAAGAAAAGCAUUUAUUCUUAAGACGCUCUUCUCAAUACCUCCACGUGUAUAUCUUUCUAUGGUUGACGUCAACAAAACAAAUAUCCUACGCCUGCUUCGAUUCUCUACUCUCCGAUCUCUAUGCACCCUUCACUC